UACAGGGGUCUCGAGCGUUAAUCGGAAUCACUGGGCUUAAAGGGAGCGUAGGCUGGCCAGCAAGUGCUUUGUGAAAGCCCCCGGCUCAACCGGGGAACUGCGGGGCAUACUGCUGGUCUUGAGGCAUGUAGGGGCGGGCAGAACAGUAGGUGGAGCGGUGAAAUGCGUAGAUAUCUGGAGGAACACCGGUGGCGAAGGCGGCAUCCUGGACCAACACUGACGCUGAGUGAGCGAAAGCCAGGGGAGCAAACGGG
rnacentral:rRNA from 1 species